rnacentral:tRNA from 2 species
AGGGUUGUAGUUAAUAAUAACAUUUGAUUUGCAUUCAAAAAGAAUUGAUAAGAUAUCAAUCUUCCUUA